rfam:Felis catus isolate Cinnamon breed Abyssinian chromosome C2, whole genome shotgun sequence.
ACCUGGGUGGCUCAGUCGGUUAAGCGUCUGACUUUGGUUCAGGUCAUGAUCUCGUGGGUUGUGGGUUCAAGCCCCACCUCGGGCU